rnacentral:rRNA from 1 species
UACGGGGGGGGUAAGCGUUGUUCGGAAUUACUGGGCGUAAAGGGCUCGUAGGCGGCCAACUAAGUCGGACGUGAAAUCCCUCAGCUUAACUGGGGAACUGCGUCCGAUACUGGAUGGCUUUGAUUUGGGAGAGGGAUGCGGAAUUCCAGGUGUAGCGGUGAAAUGCGUAGAUAUCUGGAGGAACACCGGUGGCGAAGGCGGCAUCCUGGACCAAUAUUGACGCUGAGGAGCGAAAGCCAGGGGAGCAAACGGG